GCUCAACUCUUAAUUUCCNACAUGAUCUGAGUUUAGACNGAUGAGAAUCANGUUGGAUUCUAUCUUAAUAAUAAAAUAAUUUUAAUUAGUACGAAAGGAAUUUUAAAAUAUAAUUAUUAGGAUAAACAACUUUAUUUGCAUCAAUUUUUGUAAUU
rnacentral:rRNA from 1 species